rnacentral:rRNA from 1 species
CCCUGGCUCAGGACGAACGCAGGCGGCGUGCCUAAUACAUGCAAGUCGAGCGGAAUGAUGAAGAAGCUUGCUUCUUCUGAUUUUAGCGGCGGACGGGUGAGUAACACGUGGGCAACCUACCUUGUAGAUUGGGAUAACUCCGGGAAACCGGGGCUAAUACCGAAUAAUCCAUUUUGCUUCAUGGCGAGAUGUUGAAAGGCGGCUUCGGCUGUCACUACGAGAUGGGCCCGCGGCGUAUUAGCUAGUUGGUAGGGUAAUGGCCUACCAAGGCGACGAUACGUAGCCGACCUGAGAGGGUGAUCGGCCACACUGGGACUGAGACACGGCCCAGACUCCUACGGGAGGCAGCAGUAGGGAAUCUUCCACAAUGGACGAAAGUCUGAUGGAGCAACGCCGCGUGAGUGAAGAAGGUUUUCGGAUCGUAAAACUCUGUUGUAAGGGAAGAACACGUACGAGAGUAACUGCUCGUACCUUGACGGUACCUUAUUAGAAAGCCACGGCUAACUA